GCUGGGAGUGGUGGUGUGUGCCUGUAUUCCCAGCUACUCAGGAGGCUGAGGCAGAAGAAUCGCUGGAACCCAGGAGCUGGGGUUGCAGUGAGCCGAGAUCGUGCCACUGCACUCCAGCCUGGGCAACAGAGCGAGACUCUGUCUCGAU
rnacentral:SRP_RNA from 1 species